rnacentral:rRNA from 2 species
CACUAUCGUUAACUGAAUACAUAGGUUAACGAGGCGAACCGGGGGAACUGAAACAUCUAAGUACCCCGAGGAAAAGAAAUCAACCGAGAUUCCCCCAGUAGCGGCGAGCGAACGGGGAGCAGCCCAGAGUCUGAAUCAGCUUGUGUGUUAGUGGAACGGUCUGGAAAGUCCGACGGUACAGGGUGAUAGUCCCGUACACCAAAAUGCACAGGUUGUGAACUCGAAGAGUAGGGCGGGACACGUGGUAUCCUGUCUGAAUAUGGGGGGACCAUCCUCCAAGGCUAAAUACUCCUGACUGACCGAUAGUGAACCAGUACCGUGAGGGAAAGGCGAAAAGAACCCCGGCGAGGGGAGUGAAAAAGAACCUGAAACCGUGUACGUACAAGCAGUGGGAGCACCUUCGGGUGUGACUGCGUACCUUUUGUAUAAUGGGUCAGCGACUUAUAUUCUGUAGCAAGGUUAACCGUAUAGGGGAGCCGCAGGGAAACCGAGUCUUAACUGGGCGUUAAGUUGCAGGGUAUAGACCCGAAACCCGGUGAUCUAGCCAUGGGCAGGUUGAAGGUUGGGUAACACUAACUGGAGGACCGAACCGACUAAUGUUGAAAAAUUAGCGGAUGACUUGUGGCUGGGGGUGAAAGGCCAAUCAAACCGGGAGAUAGCUGGUUCUCCCCGAAAGCUAUUUAGGUAGCGCCUCGUGAAUUCAUCUUCGGGGGUAGAGCACUGUUUCGGCUAGGGGGUCAUCCCGACUUACCAACCCGAUGCAAACUACGAAUACCGAAGAAUGUUAUCACGGGAGACACACGGCGGGUGCUAACGUCCGUCGUGAAGAGGGAAACAACCCAGACCGCCAGCUAAGGUCCCAAAGUCAUGGUUAAGUGGGAAACGAUGUGGGAAGGCACAGACAGCCAGGAUGUUGGCUUAGAAGCAGCCAUCAUUUAAAGAAAGCGUAAUAGCUCACUGGUCGAGUCGGCCUGCGCGGAAGAUGUAACGGGGCUAAACCAUGCACCGAAGCUGCGGCAGCGACACUAUGUGUUGUUGGGUAGGGGAGCGUUCUGUAAGCCUGCGAAGGUG